rnacentral:rRNA from 1 species
GACGAACGCUGGCGGCGUGCCUAAUACAUGCAAGUAGAACGCUGAAGGAGGAGCUUGCUCUUCUGGAUGAGUUGCGAACGGGUGAGUAACGCGUAGGUAACCUGCCUGGUAGCGGGGGAUAACUAUUGGAAACGAUAGCUAAUACCGCAUAAGAGUAGAUGUUGCAUGACAUUUACUUAAAAGGUGCAAUUGCAUCACUACCAGAUGGACCUGCGUUGUAUUAGCUAGUUGGUGGGGUAACGGCUUACCAAGGCGACGAUACAUAGCCGACCUGAGAGGGUGAUCGGCCACACUGGGACUGAGACACGGCCCAGACUCCUACGGGAGGCAGCAGUAGGGAAUCUUCGGCAAUGGACGGAAGUCUGACCGAGCAACGCCGCGUGAGUGAAGAAGGUUUUCGGAUCGUAAAGCUCUGUUGUAAGAGAAGAACGAGUGUGAGAGUGGAAAGUUCACACUGUGACGGUAUCUUACCAGAAAGGGACGGCUAAUUACGUG